rnacentral:lncRNA from 1 species
AUGUAGACUAGAUGAAUCAGAUAGUUAGUUAUAUAAUGUAGACUAGAUGAAUCAGAUAGUUAGAUAUAUAAUGUAGACUAGAUGAAUCAGCUAAUUAGAAAUAUCAGAUGUACGUGGCUGUGUGUCGAACACACACACAGAUAGACAUCCCAUGUGGUUCCACUUUAAACAAACUGCAACUGAAAGCAACACUGCAGUCAGUGUAUUCUAAUCUGGAGCAGGGCAGGUGGUGUAACUGUCUAACGAGACCCAUAGCGUGUUACAUGCUAAGCUAACACAAAAACACAUUCUCUCAGUAACCUGACCAGGUAAAUGAAGACGGUGUGUUCAGUACGUGACAGGUGUGUUCAGUAAAUGACAGGUGUGUUCAGUAGACGACAGGUGUGUUCAGUAAAUGACAGGUGUGUUCAGUAAGUGACAGGUGUGUUCAGUAAGUGACAGGUGUGUUCAGUACGCGACAGGUGUGUUCAGUAAGUGACAGGUGUGUUCAGUACGUGCCAGGUGUGUUCAGUAAGUGACAGGUGUGUUCAGUACAUGACAGGUGUAUUCAGUAAGUGACAAGUGUGUUCAGUAGACACCAAGUGUGUUCAGUAAGUGACAGGUGUGUUCAGUAAGUGACAGGUGUGUUCAGUAGACACCAAACGUGUUCAGUAAGUGACAGGUGUGUUCAGUAGACACCAAACGUGUUCAGUAAGUGACAGGUGUGUUCAGUAGACACCAAACGUGUUCAGUAAGUGACAAGUGUGUUCAGUAGACACCAAGUGUGUUCAGUAAGUGACAGGUGUGUUCAGUAAGUGACAGGUGUGUUCAAUAAGUGACAGGUGUGUUCAGUACGCAACAGGUGUGUUCAGUACGUGACAGGUGUGUUCAGUACAUGACAGGUGUGUUCAGUAAGUGACAGGUGUGUUCAGUACGUGACAGGUGUGUUCAGUACGCGACAGGUGUGUUCAGUACGUGACAGGUGUGUUCAGUACAUGACAGGUGUGUUCAAUAAGUGACAGGUGUGUUCAGUAAGUGACAGGUGUGUUCAGUAAGUGACAGGUGUUUUCAGUACGUGACAGGUGUGUUCAGUAAGUGACAGGUGUGUUCAAUAAGUGACAGGUGUGUUCAGUACGUGCCAGGUGUGUUCAGUAGAUGACAGGUGUGUUCAGUAAGUGACAGGUGUUUUCAGUACGUGACAGGUGUGUUCAGUACGUGCCAGGUGUGUUCAGUAAGUGCCAGGUGUGUUCAGUACGUGCCAGGUGUGUUCAGUAAGUGACAGGUGUGUUCAGUACGUGCCAGGUGUGUUCAGUAAGUGACAGGUGUGUUCAGUACGUGCCAGGUGUGUUCAGUACGUGCCAGCCACACUCGUUGCUGACAGGUGUAUAAAACCGAGCACACCGCCAUGCAAUCUCCAUAGACAAACAUUGUUAGUAGAAUGGCUCGUACUGAAGAGCUCAGUGACUUUCAACGUGGCACCAUCAAAGGAUGUCACCUUUCCAACAAGUCAGUUUGUCAAAUUCCUACCCUGCUAGAGCUGUCCCGGGUCAACUGUAAGUGCUGUUUGUGAAGUGGAAACGUCUAGGAGCAACAACGGCUCAGUCGGGAAGUGGUUG